UCACUUUCAUUUAUUUCCGAAGAUAUUCGUAUGAGAAGUUUCUUUCUGGUAGUUCUCUACUAUUAAUGUGUCGGUUGUAAUCUGAUCAAUGACUCAUUGAAGACAUUAAGUAACAGUAACCAGUUGUUCUGUUUGAUAGUCGGAGUUAUUGGUCAUAAUAGAUACAUUUACAUCCAGAUCAGAGCGCAGAAAGUAGGGAUUCAGUUGAAUCUUCCUUGCCAUCACACGAGCAGCAGUGUCAAUUAAGGUCAGGCCCUAAGUAUAAUGAUAUGUUUCAUAUUUUCUAUCUAACUUUUCCCACCUACUCAGUUUGAAAGAAUCUUUUUUUUUUGAAAACAAGUUUGAAAGAAUCUUACAUUGGUUGCUAAUCUUAUCAUCGCUGUUUGAUUUAUGCGUUAGCUUCUUGCAUUAGGACAUCUCCAACAAGACACCAAAAUACCAAAUUUGGUGUAAUCUCAUCUCCAACAAAACAUUAAAUUUGACAUCAUUCCAUCAAAGUUGGUGUAAUGUGAAUAGUGCUAUACCAAAUUUAGUGUAAUACUAUUCAUCACACAAAAUAAUUAAAAUACAUUUUAUUAUGUUUCAUUUAAUAAUAUAGUUCCAUUGUUAUCAAAUUUGUAAUUAAAAAUAAAUAUAUUAUGUUAUUUGUAUUUUUAUUUUAUCUUCACAUAAUUAAAAAAAUUAAAAUUAAAAUUUUAUUUUUAUUUUCAAAAUAAAUCACUAAAUGACUAUUAUUAUUUAUCAUUUACAAAUAAUAAAAUAUAAAUAAUAAUCUAAAUGUGACUAAAUAAUUAUUUAUUAAUUAAUAAAUAAUAAAAAUAUAAAACUUUAAGAACUGAAAACAUCAAAUAAUAUAUAAUAAUACAUUUGGUGUAAAAUUUGGUGUUAUUCUUGGAGAUGAUAAAAAGAUUGUGACACCAAAACACCAAAUUUGAUGUAAUUUCAAUACCAAAUAUGAUGUCAUUCUUGGAAAUGCCCUUAAGUAUGGCUUAUUUCUUUUCUUUCAUCAUGCUUUUGAUAUGCAUUGAUGUAAGAAUUUUACAAUUCUUUAUGCACUACUCUGUAUUGCUCUAAAUUUUAUGAUUGCUAAUUAUUGUGUAGGUUUCAAAUAGUGGCUUCUGUAUAUUUCAGUUUCUUUCUGUGAUUUGAUAGUUUAAUGUUGAUCUCCUGAGUCGUGAUAAAAUAGUUCAUGAUUAUAUAUAUUGUGAAAUAAAGAAGAUCUAUCUCUGAAUAGUUAAUUGGAAACUCGUAUAAAUCAUUCAAGUUUUUUACUUCACAAUGAUUUCGUAAACAGCAUAUCAGAAGACAUAGACAACAAGUCACUAUGAUAUUCUCAGUGAUAUAUAUACACAUGUCAGUAAUCUAUACUCUAUAUUACUUUCUGUGGGUCAUUCGGUUGUAGUCAAAAUAAAUGUAGACAUAGAAAGAGACAUAAUUAUUUUAAUGUGACAUUAUAUGAUUCUAAUAUUCUAAGCUUUAGAAAAACCAUAUGCAUCAAAUUAAACAACAUAUAAUUAGUAUGAAAAUGCAAAAAGAAUAUAGAAGAUCAAAUGUUAAAUUUAACAAGAAAACAAUAUAAAAAAUCUCUAUCUUCAUUUGCUAAUGUUGUAGACAUUUUAGGAUUUGUUGAUUUUAAAUUAUGUAUAACUUUUAAAAAAUUUGUACCAAAAACAACCAAAAGAAUUAUAAACAAAUAAUCCGGAUGUAGUCCGGAUAAACCCCCUAGUUUGAUCUAAUAGUGUUAAAAAAAACUAUUUUAUCUAAUAAAGUAGAAAUUGAAUUUUCCCAAAAAGCAGAAAUGUAAUUUUGAAAAGAUUUUUUUU